CUUUUCUUAACUCUACCGUUCUUUAACAGGUCAUGUUCAGUUUUAGUCACCAAGUUUUCUUUUUAAUAAUAUUCUUAAAUAUAUAAUCACAUGCAUAGUAACUGUUUAAAAACAGAUAGCCUUCUAGUAAUUAUGGACGUCAAAUGUAACGUAAAAGUCAAAGCAUGCUCUUACCUGUUUUGUAUCUUUCUGAUUAUUUCCGUGAUUUGAAACGUCAUUGUUAAGAUGAUUUUACAUGUAACAUUAUCUCUAUAUCAUGCACAUUUAUCAUUACUUCGUAGGGAUACCUGGUCAAUCAAUUCUGUACAAUUGUUUACAUUGAAAGGUCAACUUUGUUAUUCCAGUACAAUUGCCGUAAAGCAAGUAUCGAUUGUCGUUAAACGUGUCAAAGACGUAACGUUUCGAGUCUUUUAGAGUCGAAACGUCAUUUUCUAGUCGAAAUUUAGGUAUAAAAGAGCGUGCGUAUUGCAUUGUUUCAGUUGUGGUUCAACUGGGCAUAAGGCAACAGCUAGCCAAAAGCCUACUUCUAACUGCUAUAAUAAAGCAACUUUAGGAGUCUUUCUGACCUUUUCCAUUAUAAAAACAACGUGAUAAAUUUCAAGGUUAGCUUAUUUAAAAGGCUUUUUCGAGUCAUUAAAGUCAAUAUUCUGACUCCAUUUCUGUUGACGUAAUAUACUUAACGACUCGUUACCAGAGUCUUUAAUUUAAUUAUAAAAUAAAAGACACUAUUCAGUUUUAAAGAACUAUUAACGGUCUACGUGACCUUCCGGCAUAUUCACACAAUACUUCCAUACAUAUUUUUGGUAUAAAAGUUUAUGCUUUCUAAUCCGAUUUCUAUACGAAAAGGUAUUCAGAGAAACGUGUAAUUUAGGUAUCCAAUACAAAUAGCUAUACAGAUCUAUUGAAAAGGUCUCUAUUGUUUCUCUAUACGCGUUCGAUUAUUACAUAGUUUAGGAACACAUCAUACGUUAUUGUAAUUCCGCCGAUUUUCUAAGUUAGGAUAUAAUAGCUCAAAGCUAGUCAUUUUUAUUAUAUUGCUAAGUAUUGAUUUUAUUUGUAUUGUUUGACCAGGAACAUCCCUACGAUUUGCUUGCUUAAUCUUGGUGACUAUUAAAAUAUUAAGUAAUCAGUUACAUUUGUUGAAGUUAAUAACAUUAUAUUUUAUAACAACAUAAAAUAUUUGUCUCAUAAA
rnacentral:lncRNA from 1 species